AGAGUUUGAUCCUGGCUCAGGAUGAACGCUGGCGGCGUGCCUAAUACAUGCAAGUCGAACGAGGUGCUUUUGUAGCAAUACGAAAGUAUCCUAGUGGCGAACGGGUGAGUAACGCGUUGGUGACCUACCCCAAAGUGUGGGAUAACAGUCCGAAAGGAUUGCUAAUACCGCAUGUGGUUAUCGGGCUUAGAAACUGAUAACUAAAGGAGCAAUUCGCUUUGGGAGGGACCUGCGUCCCAUCAGCUAGUUGGUGAGGUAAUGGCUCACCAAGGCUACGACGGGUAGGGGACCUGAGAGGGUGACCCCCCACAAUGGAACUGAAACACGGUCCAUACACCUACGGGUGGCAGCAGUAGGGAAUAUUGCACAAUGGGCGAAAGCCUGAUGCAGCAACGCCGCGUGUGCGAUGAAGGCCUUCGGGUCGUAAAGCACUUUUCUGAGGGAUGAGCAAGGACAGUACCUCAGGAAUAAGUCUCGGCUAACUACGUGCCAGCAGCCGCGGUAAAACGUAGGAGGCAAGCGUUAUCCGGAUUCACUGGGCGUAAAGCGCGUGCAGGCGGUUCGGUAAGUUGGGCGUGAAAUCUCCUGGCUUAACUAGGAGAGGUCGUUCAAUACUACCGGACUUGAGAGUGAUAGAGGAAGAUGGAAUUCCCGGUGUAGUGGUGAAAUGCGUAGAUAUCGGGAGGAACACCAGUGGCGAAAGCGAUCUUCUGGAUCAUUUCUGACGCUCAGACGCGAAAGCUAGGGUAGUAAACGGGAUUAGAGACCCCGGUAAUCCUAGCCGUAAACGAUGUAAACUUGGCGUCGGUGGCUUAAACUCCAUCGGUGCCGCAGCUAACGCGAUAAGUUUACCGCCUGGGGACUACGAUCGCAAGAUUAAAACUCAAAGGAAUUGACGG
rnacentral:rRNA from 1 species